UACGUAGGUGGCAAGCGUUGUCCGGAAUUAUUGGGCGUAAAGCGCGCGCAGGCGGUUCCUUAAGUCUGAUGUGAAAGCCCACGGCUCAACCGUGGAGGGUCAUUGGAAACUGGGGAACUUGAGUGCAGAAGAGGAGAGUGGAAUUCCACGUGUAGCGGUGAAAUGCGUAGAGAUGUGGAGGAACACCAGUGGCGAAGGCGACUCUCUGGUCUGUAACUGACGCUGAGGCGCGAAAGCGUGGGGAGCGAACGGG
rnacentral:rRNA from 1 species